rnacentral:rRNA from 1 species
GCGAAAGCGAGUUUUAACUGAGCGUUCAGUUACUUGACGUAGACCCGAAACCGGGCGACCUACCCAUGAGCAGGAUGAAGCGAAAGUAAAAUUUCGUGGAGGUCCGAACCCACGAGCGUUGAAAAGCCCGGGGAUGACUUGUGGGUAGCGGUGAAAUUCCAAUCGAGCCCGGAGAUAGCUGGUUCUCCCCGAAAUAGCUUUAGGGCUAGCCUCAAGGUGAGAGAUACGGAGGUAGAGCACUGAAUGUCCUAGGGG